CAGCCGCCGCGGUAAUACGUAGGGUGCAAGCGUUAAUCGGAAUUACUGGGCGUAAAGCGUGCGCAGGCGGUUUGUUAAGACAGAUGUGAAAUCCCCGGGCUCAACCUGGGAACUGCAUUUGUGACUGGCAAGCUAGAGUAUGGCAGAGGGGGGUGGAAUUCCGCGUGUAGCAGUGAAAUGCGUAGAGAUCGGAAGGAACAUCUGUGGCGAAGGCGACUAUCUGGGCCAACACUGACACUGAGGCACGAAAGCGUGGGGAGCAAACAGGAUUAGAUACCCGAGUAGUCCCUGUCUCUUAUAA
rnacentral:rRNA from 1 species